UGGGGAAUAUUGGGCAAUGGGGGCAACCCUGACCCAGCGACGCCGCGUGGGGGAAGACGGCCUUCGGGUUGUAAACCUCUUUUGUACGGGAAGAAGGAAGUGACGGUACUGUACGAAUAAGUCCCGGCUAACUACGUGCCAGCAGCCGCGGUAAUACGUAGGGGACGAGCGUUGUCCGGAAUUACUGGGCGUAAAGGGCGCGCAGGCUGUGCUGCAAGUCAGCUGUUAAAUGUCUGGGCUUAACCCGGGCAUGCGGUUGAGACUGCGGUGCUGGAGUGCUGUAGAGGCAAGUGGAAUUCCCAGUGUAGCGGUGAAAUGCGUAGAUAUUGGGAAGAACACCGGUGGCGAAGGCGACUUGCUGGGCAGCAACUGACGCUGAGGCGCGAAAGCCAGGGGAGCAAACGG
rnacentral:rRNA from 1 species